UAAUGCUUGGGAAUCUAGCUUAUGGAGGGGGAUAACUACGGGAAACUGUAGCUAAUACCGCGUAGAAUCGAGAGAUGAAAGUGUGGGACCUUCGGGCCACAUGCCAUAGGAUGAGCCCAAGUGGGAUUAGGUAGUUGGUGAGGUAAAGGCUCACCAAGCCGACGAUCUCUAGCUGGUCUGAGAGGAUGACCAGCCACACUGGGACUGAGACACGGCCCAG
rnacentral:rRNA from 1 species